AGGGUGCGAGCGUUAAUCGGAAUUACUGGGCGUAAAGCGCAUGCAGGUGGUUUGUUAAGUCAGAUGUGAAAGCCCGGGGCUCAACCUCGGAAUUGCAUUUGAAAACUGGCAAACUAGAGUACUGUAGAGGGGGUAGAAUUUCAGGUGUAGCGGUGAAAAUGCGUAGAGAUCUGAAGGAAUACCGGUGGCGAAGGCGGCCCCCUGGACAGAUACUGACACUCAGAUGCGAAAGCGUGGGGAGCAAACAGGAUUAGAUACCCUGGUAG
rnacentral:rRNA from 1 species